rnacentral:lncRNA from 1 species
UUUUUAAAGAUUUAUUCAUUUAUUAUAUACAAGUACACUGUAGCUGUCUUCAGACACACCAGAAGAGGGCAUCGGAUCUCUUUACAGAUGGUUGUAAGCCACCAUGUGGUUGCUGGGAAUUGAACUCAGGACCUCUGGAAGAGCAGUCAGUGCUCUUAACCGCUGAGCCAUCUCUCCAGCCCUCUUUCUUCCUUUCAUUUGAUCUCCCCUUUUACUCUUUGUCGAUAGCAACUGAGCCCGGGCCCUCACCCAAACCUGCUUUACAGCUGAGAUAUUCUUGUGAGGGUCUGCUCAGUUUCUGAACACUCACCACAACACUAUACAGACCUCCUGUCUUUAAAUAUGUAAAUACUGUUGAUUAGUGGCCAGAUGCGGCUCCCACCCCCUACUUGAGAGUCACGCUUUCAUUUCUGAUUUACUUUUACAUGUUUUAACUAAUUAAAUGUGUCUUUCCAUAAUUUCAUACAUGAAGUGCAUGCUGGUUCCUCUCACACCCCACUGUCUCUCACCUCCCUCCCGUGCCUGUCAAGCGUCUUUCCCUCAUCGAUUCUCUUUCGUUUUGAGUUCAACCAUGGCCUUUGUGACUGUGGGUUUGGAACUACCCAUUGUAAACUUUAAAUCUACAUCUCAUGACACUGAGUCACCUCAAAAAAAAAAAAAAAA